rnacentral:rRNA from 1 species
CCCGGGGGGGCGUCCUAUAAUGCAGUCGACGAACUCUGGUAUUGAUUGGUGCUUGCAUCAUGAUUUACAUUUGAGUGAGUGGCGAACUGGUGAGUAACACGUGGGAAACCUGCCCAGAAGCGGGGGAUAACACCUGGAAACAGAUGCUAAUACCGCAUAACAACUUGGACCGCAUGGUCCGAGUUUGAAAGAUGGCUUCGGCUAUCACUUUUGGAUGGUCCCGCGGCGUAUUAGCUAGAUGGUGGGGUAACGGCUCACCAUGGCAAUGAUACGUAGCCGACCUGAGAGGGUAAUCGGCCACAUUGGGACUGAGACACGGCCCAAACUCCUACGGGAGGCAGCAGUAGGGAAUCUUCCACAAUGGACGAAAGUCUGAUGGAGCAACGCCGCGUGAGUGAAGAAGGGUUUCGGCUCGUAAAACUCUGUUGUUAAAGAAGAACAUAUCUGAGAGUAACUGUUCAGGUAUUGACGGUAUUUAACCAGAAAGCCACGGCUAACUACGUGCCAGCAGCCGCGGUAAUACGUAGGUGGCAAGCGUUGUCCGGAUUUAUUGGGCGUAAAGCGAGCGCAGGCGGUUUUUUAAGUCUGAUGUGAAAGCCUUCGGCUCAACCGAAGAAGUGCAUCGGAAACUGGGAAACUUGAGUGCAGAAGAGGACAGUGGAACUCCAUGUGUAGCGGUGAAAUGCGUAGAUAUAUGGAAGAACACCAGUGGCGAAGGCGGCUGUCUGGUCUGUAACUGACGCUGAGGCUCGAAAGUAUGGGUAGCAAACAGGAUUAGAUACCCUGGUAGUCCAUACCGUAAACGAUGAAUGCUAAGUGUUGGAGGGUUUCCGCCCUUCAGUGCUGCAGCUAACGCAUUAAGCAUUCCGCCUGGGGAGUACGGCCGCAAGGCUGAAACUCAAAGGAAUUGACGGGGGCCCGCACAAGCGGUGGAGCAUGUGGUUUAAUUCGAAGCUACGCGAAGAACCUUACCAGGUCUUGACAUACUAUGCAAAUCUAAGAGAUUAGACGUUUCCCUUCGGGGACAUGGAUACAGGGUGGGUGCAUGAUUGUCGUCAGCUCGUGUCGUGAGAUGUUGGGUUAAGUCCCGCAACGAGCGCAACCCUUUAUUAUCAGUUGCCAGCAUUUAAGUUUGGGCAACUCUGCUGAGACUGCCGGUGACAACCGGCAGGUAGUUGAGAAUGAACGGUCCAAUCAUCAUGCCCCCUUAAUUGAACCUGUGGGG